AGCUAUGGCCAUGCCCCCCAGAAAGCACCCAGUCUCAUCUGAUCACAGGAGCUAAGCAGGGUCAGGCCUGGUUAGUACUUGGCUGAAAGACUGUUUGGGAACGGUAGGUGCUGUAGGCU
rnacentral:rRNA from 1 species